UAUAUGUCUAGCAUGCGAGUCAUUGUAGCAUACAAGGCAUACGGCUCAGUAACGCGUAGUCAACCUAACCUAUGGACGGGAAUAACCUCGGGAAACUGAGAAUAAUGCCCGAUAGAACACUAUACCUGGAAUGGUUUGUGUUCCAAAUGAUUUAUCGCCAUAGGAUGGGACUGCGGCCUAUCAGUUUGUUGGUGAGGUAAUGGCCCACCAAGACUAUUACAGGUACGGGCUCUGAGAGGAGUAGCCCGGAGAUGGGUACUGAGACACGGACCCAGGCCCUAUGGGGCGCAGCAGGCGAGAAAACUUUGCAAUGUGCGAAAGCACGACAAGGUUAAUCCGAGUGAUUUGUGCUAAACGAAUCUUUUGUUAGUCCUAGAAACACUAACGAAUAAGGGGUGGGCAAGUUCUGGUGUCAGCCGCCGCGGUAAAACCAGCACCUCAAGUGGUCAGGAUGAUUAUUGGGCCUAAAGCAUCCGUAGCCGGCUCUGUAAGUUUUCGGUUAAAUCUGUACGCUUAACGUACAGGCUGCCGGGAAUACUGCAGAGCUAGGGAGUGGGAGAGGUAGACGGUACUCGGUAGGAAGUGGUAAAAUGCUUUGAUCUAUCGAUGACCACCUGUGGCGAAAGGCGGUCUACCAGAACACGUCCGACGGUGAGGGAUGAAAGCUGGGGGGAGCAAACCGGGAUUAGAUACCCGGGUAGUCCAGCUGUAAACUAUGCAAACUCAGUUGAUGCCAUUGGCCUGUGCCCAAUGCAGCUGCCUGCAGGGGUAAAGUCU
rnacentral:rRNA from 1 species